rnacentral:rRNA from 1 species
GACGAACGCUGGCGGCGUGCCUAAUACAUGCAAGUCGAACGCAGUGGGGACGGGUGAGUAACACGUGGGUAAACUCCCAUCAGAGGGGAUAACACUUGGAAACAGGUGCUAAACCGAUACUGAUGGAUGGACCCGCCGUGCAUUAGCUAGUUGGUGGGGUAAAGGCUCACAAGGGCCACGAUGCAUAGCCGACCUGUGAGGGUAACUGGCCACACUGGGACUGAGACACGGACCAGACUCCUACGUGAGGCAGCAGUAGGGAAUCUUCGUCAAUGGACGAAAGUCUGACCGAGCAACGCCGCGUGAGUGCAGAAGGUUUUCGGAUCGUAAACCUCUGUUGUUAGAGAAUCGGUAUCUAACCAGAAAGCACCGGCUAACUCCGUGCCAGCAGCCGCGGUAAUUC